CUGGGCUCGAAAUGCUGCAGAUCGCCGGUGGAAACACUGGUUUUCCCGCAAGGGACUGUAGUAUAGGUGCUGCAUGGCUGUCGUCAGCUCGUGUCGUGAGAUGUUGGGUUAAGUCCCGCAACGAGCGCAACCCUUGUCCUGUGUUGCUAAUCCGCAAGGAUGCACUCUCAGGAGACCGCCAGCGAUAAGCUGGAGGAAGGUGGGGAUGACAUCAAGUCAUCAUGGCCUUUAUGUCCAGGGCUACACACGUGCUACAAUGGACGGUACAAAGCGUAGCAAACCCGUGAGGGGGAGCCAAUCGCAAAAAACCGUUCUCAGUUCGGAUUGCAGGCUGCAACUCGCCUGCAUGAAGCUGGAAUCGCUAGUAAUGGCGUAUCAGAACGACGCCGUGAAUA
rnacentral:rRNA from 1 species